UCCCAGAUAGCAAAAUGACAUUGAAUCAACGUUGAAACAUGGUCAUGGAGGUUGAUUAUUGGUUGUGGUUGGUUAAGGUUGAAAAAUCAACAUUGAAUCAACAUUGUUUUAUGGUUGAAAUUGCACAUUGAAAUGCCAACGGUGGAUCAACAUUGAAUCAACAUUGUUUUAUGGUUGAAAUUGACCAUUGAAAUUGACAUGAAAUGCCGACGUUAAAUCAACGUUAUUUCAAUGAUUGUUAUCUUUUGUUUUGUUAUGUGAUUUUGUUUAAAACUAACGAAAAUGUAAAAGAAAUGAAUGCAUGUGUACAUCUGUUCUUGUUCUAGUGAUGUUACAUUGUAUGAAAAAAAAAAAGAACAUUCACUAAGUCUAUGAUGUGGCAGGGUUUGGAAGGGGGGAAUGUAGGUGUACACGUGCAUAUAUUUCUUGAUAUGUAGCCCCUACGAUAACCUUUCCCUCAAAAUAGCCUCACCCAAUCGCACCUCUGAACUUGGCCAUAGGCUCGGCCAAUCAAUGACUAGCAUGCAGGUGCCCUGGCGAAUGGGAGGAGAGGAGAGGGCGGGACUAGAGGAGGUCGGCGGGAAACACGGAGAGGAAGACGGCGGUUGGGCGCGGUGCCAUGGCGGACGGAGAUUUCGAGAUAAUAGAUCAGUUAAAGAACAGUUUAACUCUUAGUUAUUGCGUGUGCCUGUGCGACAUAUUUUUAUCUGAGCAACGGAACCUUUACGGCUUGAGUGGCGAGUGGAAGAGUGGAAGACUCCACGCCAUCAGUGCUGAAGAUUCAUCUGGUGUUAACUAGUAUAGUUCGCAUAGUGCGAGGCGACCGUCCUUGCUAGGUAGUGCAGUUUGUUUAUUCACCACUCGUUUUUCAACUGUUACACUAUUGCUUUUAUUUUUCCAUCUUCUCUGAAGUAGGGGCGUCUCAUCCUCUGUCCAUAAAGUAUAGUUAGGGGGAAUACAGGGUAAGACACACCGAUACCUUCUGAUAUUCCGUCCUUUAGGUCUUCACCGUGACAGGUUAAAAUCC
ensembl:lncRNA